AUUGAACGCUGGCGGCAGGCCUAACACAUGCAAGUCGAACGAGUGGCGGACGGGUGAGUAAUGUCUGGGCAACUGCCCGAGGGAGGGGGAUAACUACUGGAAACGGUAGCUAAUACCGCAUACCCUCGGAUGUGCCCAGAUGGGAUUAGCUAGUGGGGGGGGUAAAGGCUCACAUAGGCGACGAUCCCGAGCUGGUCUGAGAGGAUGACCAGCCACACUGGGACUGAGACACGGUCCAGACGCCUACGUGAGGCAGCAGUGGGGAAUAGUGCACAAUGGGCGCAAGCCUGAUGCAGCCAUGCCGCGUGUAUGAAGAAGGCCUUAGGGUUGUAAAGUACUUUCAGCGAGGAGGCGUUACUCGCAGAAGAAGCACCGGCUAACUCCGUGCCAGCAGCCGCGGUAAUAC
rnacentral:rRNA from 1 species